rfam:Chlorocebus sabaeus isolate 1994-021 chromosome 6, whole genome shotgun sequence.
GCUGGGCACAGUGGCACAUUGCUGUAGUCCCAGCUACCUGGGAGGCUGAGGCAAAAGGAUUGCUUGAGCCCAGGGCUUCCGGAUUGUAGUGCACUAUGCCAAUUGGCUGUCCACACUAAGUUCAGCAUCAAUAUGAUGACUUCCUGGGAAUGGGAACAGGCCCAGGAAACAUAGGUCAAGAUUCUCAUGCUGAUCAGUGGUGGGAUAGCACCUGUGAAUACCCACUGCACUUCAGCCUGGGCAACAUAGAGAGACUCUGUCUAUA